rnacentral:lncRNA from 1 species
GCCAAGGGCCAGACUGCGAUAGUACUGAGCCGGGGAUAAGCUUGGUGCUAUCUCUUCUUCUUAGUUUUCUUGUUUCUUUUGUGUUAGUGUUGAUUCUAGUGAAAAAAAUCGAUUUAAUGAAUUAAUGUUUGAUUUACGAAGUUGUUUAUGGAUCACUGUUUAUCAAUUGUUGUAAAAGAUUGAGGACGUAUGGAAGUUUCCAGUCACUAUUUAUUACAAGGUUGUAAGUUUAGUGGAGAAGAAUUAUAAUCGAAGGAAUUAUCUUGAUUAGAUUCUAUAGAUUGGAAGUUGUUC